GUCACUACAUAUUAAAUACAUUUUUUUCUAAUUUUCAAAAGCAACAAAUGAAGGAAAUUCGUGAACGUUUGAAAAAACGUGGCUCUUAAUUAGUGUGUUGCUCAUAAGAUAUACCGAGAAGUAUAUAAUAUAUCGCAAAUACUCACCCAGUAGAAAAGUGCAAGAGUGCGAUAGUAUCGAUAUCGAUACUUACGCGGAAUUUAGAUUUUGAAUUAAAUUUUAAAUCGAGCUGCAAAAUAUUGUUAUAUAAAUCAAUCUGUUUAAAUCAAUUCGAUUCGGUUAUUUCAAUGCUGGCACAUUUCAAAUGAGUUAAAUCAAAUCGAUUUUUAAUCUAAUGCUAUAUAAUAAGUAGGUUCAAAAUUCAAGAAUGAAUACAUUUUUCAGCGCUGUCAAUGAUAGGAUGAUGGGACUUUUGGAAUUUAUUCAACAUUUGGGCAUCUGUUAUCUGUUCGUUAUGUAUCAUCCUAGUCAAAAGUGGACUAAAAACGCAACAAUAAUCUUUUAAUAAACCAUAUAAAUUGCAAUAA